CUAGCCGUAAACGAUGAGCACUAGAUCGAAGGGUCCUCCAUAGCCUUUUGGUCGUAGCGAAAGUGUUAAGUGCUCCGCCUGGGGANCGAAGAACCUUAUCCUAGUCUUGACAUGCACGGAUUAACUCGGUGAAAGCCGAGCCAGGCCUUCGGGUACAACGUGCACAGGUGC
rnacentral:rRNA from 1 species